AGUCCUGUAGCUCAGUGGUUAGAGCACUCGCCUCGGACGCAAGAGACCUGGGUUCGAUUCCCGGCAGGGCGA